AGAGUUUGAUCAUGGCUCAGAUUGAACGCUGGCGGCAGGCCUAACACAUGCAAGUCGAGCGGCAGCACAGAGGAACUUGUUCCUUGGGUGGCGAGCGGCGGACGGGUGAGUAAUGCCUGGGAAAUUGCCCGGUAGAGGGGGAUAACCAUUGGAAACGAUGGCUAAUACCGCAUAACCUCGCAAGAGCAAAGC
rnacentral:rRNA from 1 species